GCCGGGCGUGGUGGCUCACGCCUGUAAUCCCAGCAUUUUGGGAGGCUGAGGUGGGCGGAUCACCUGAGGUCGGGAGUUCGAGACCAGCCUGACCAAUAUGGAGACAUCCCAUCUCUA
rnacentral:sRNA from 1 species